UUCGUGUGAACAGUGGUUGAUCACGAGUUAGUCGGUCCUAAGUUCAAGGCGAAAGCCGAAAAUUUUCAAGUAAAAAAUUGUGCAUUACUCUAUAUAUAUAUUAUAUUAUAUAUUAUUAUGAAUUAUAAUAUACUUGAAUAAUUUUGAACGAAAGGGAAUACGGUUCCAAUUCCGUAACCUGUUGAGUAUCCGUUUGUUAUUAAAUAUGGGCCUCGUGCUCAUCCUGGCAACAGGAACGACCAUAAAGAAGCCGUCGAGAGAUAUCGGAAGAGUUUUCUUUUCUGUUUUAUAGCCGUACUACCAUGGAAGUCUUUCGCAGAGAGAUAUGGUAGAUGGGCUAGAAGAGCAUGACAUAUACUGUUGUGUCGAUAUUUUCUCCUCGGACCUUGAAAAUUUAUGGUGGGGACACGCAAACUUCUCAACAGGCCGUACCAAUAUCCGCAGCUGGUCUCCAAGGUGAAGAGUCUCUAGUCGAUAGAAUA
rnacentral:rRNA from 1 species